UCGCAGCGCUCCCGGGCCGCGGCCGAGCGGCAUCGGAGCAGGGCUGCGCCGCGUUUCCCGGCCCCGCGCCCCUCUCCAGACGCCGGGAGCGGCCGCGUGCCGGAAAAUGCCGCCGGGGCGGCGGAGCGGGGCCCUGGCUCUGCCCGCCCCUCCUGCCGCCCUCCCUGGAAUGGUUUGAGGCAUUAUGGGUUUAUUGAGAUGUCGUGGAUAUGCUGGCUGUUCUGAUGGAGGGCAGUGAUGGCUUAGAUGGAGAAAUUUGGUUCUCUUUAAAUAAAGACGUGAUUAUCCAAACAUUUCCCUUCAGUGCUGUUGUCCCUGCUGCAUUAGCAGCCAGGAAUAUGCUGUUGCUUCAGUCUGAAAACGGAACAGAUGCAGAAGAAACAGCUAUGUAA
rnacentral:lncRNA from 1 species